CAGCAGCCGCGGUAAUACGUAGGUGGCAAGCGUUGUCCGGAAUUAUUGGGCGUAAAGGGCUCGCAGGCGGUUUCUUAAGUCUGAUGUGAAAGCCCCCGGCUCAACCGGGGAGGGUCAUUGGAAACUGGGAAACUUGAGCGCAGAAGAGGAGAGUGGAAUUCCACGUGUAGCGGUGAAAUGCGUAGAGAUGUGGAGGAACACCAGUGGCGAAGGCGACUCUCUGGUCUGUAACUGACGCUGAGGAGCGAAAGCGUGGGGAGCGAACAGGAUUAGAUACCCGAGUAGUCCCUGUCUCUUAUAC
rnacentral:rRNA from 1 species